GUUUGGAUAGCUCAGUUGGUUAGAGCAUGGUGCUGAUAACGCCAUGUUGCAGGAUCAGUCCCUAUAUGGGGCA